rnacentral:rRNA from 1 species
UGCAGUCGAACGGCAGCGGGGGCUUCGGCCCGCCGGCGAGUGGCGAACGGGUGAGUAAUGCAUCGGAACGUACCCAGUCGUGGGGGAUAACUACGCGAAAGCGUAGCUAAUACCGCAUACGCCCUGAGGGGGAAAGCGGGGGACCUUCGGGCCUCGCGCGAUUGGAGCGGCUGAUGUCGGAUUAGCUAGUUGGUGGGGUAAAGGCCUACCAAGGCGACGAUCCGUAGCUGGUCUGAGAGGAUGAUCAGCCACACUGGGACUGAGACACGGCCCAGACUCCUACGGGAGGCAGCAGUGGGGAAUUUUGGACAAUGGGCGCAAGCCUGAUCCAGCCAUGCCGCGUGAGUGAAGAAGGCCUUCGGGUUGUAAAGCUCUUUCAGACGGAAAGAAAUCGGGCGCGUGAAUAGCGUGCCUGGAUGACGGUACUGUCAGAAGAAGCACCGGCUAACUACGUGCCA